rnacentral:rRNA from 1 species
UACGGGGGGGGGCAAGCGUUGUUCGGAUUUACUGGGCGUAAAGGGCGCGUAGGCGGCGUGACAAGUCACUUGUGAAAUCUCCGGGCUUAACUCGGAACGGUCAAGUGAUACUGUCGUGCUAGAGUACAGAAGGGGCAACUGGAAUUCUCGGUGUAGCGGUGAAAUGCGUAGAUAUCGAGAGGAACACCUGCGGCGAAGGCGGGUUGCUGGGCUGAUACUGACGCUGAGGAGCGAAAGCGUGGGGAGCGAACAGG